AGUGGGGAAUAUUGCACAAUGGAGGGAACUCUGAUGCAGCAACGCCGCGUGGAGGAUGACACAUUUCGGUGCGUAAACUCCUUUUAUAUAAGAAGAUAAUGACGGUAUUAUAUGAAUAAGCACCGGCUAACUCCGUGCCAGCAGCCGCGGUAAUACGGGGGGUGCAAGCGUUACUCGGAAUCACUGGGCGUAAAGAGAAUGUAGGCUGGCUAUUAAGUUGGAAGUGAAAUCCUAUGGCUUAACCAUAGAACUGCUUCCAAAACUGAUUGCCUAGAAUAUGGGAGAGGUAGAUGGAAUUUCUGGUGUAGGGGUAAAAUCCGUAGAGAUCAGAAGGAAUACCGAUUGCGAAGGCGAUCUACUGGAACAUUAUUGACGCUGAGAUUCGAAAGCGUGGGGAGCAAACAGGAUUAGAUACCCUGGUAGUCCACGCCCUAAACGAUGUACACUAGUUGUUGCUAUGCUAGACAUAGCAGUAAUGCAGUUAACACAGUAAGUGUACCGCCUGGGGAGUACGGUCGCAAGAUUAAAACUCAAAGGAAUAGACGGGGACCCGCACAAGCGGUGGAGCAUGUGGUUUAAUUCGACGAUACGCGAAGAACCUUACCUGGCCUUGACAUAGUAAGAAUCUUUUAGAGAUAGAGGAGUGCUAGUUUACUAGAGCUUAUAUACAGGUGCUGCACGGCUGUCGUCAGCUCGUGUCGUGAGAUGUUGGGUUAAGUCCCGCAACGAGCGCAACCCUCGUGUUUAGUUACUAACAGUUCGGCUGAGGACUCUAAACAGACUGCCUGGGUAACCAGGAGGAAGGUGAGGACGACGUCAAGUCAUCAUGGCCCUUACGGCCAGGGCUACACACGUGCUACAAUGGGGUAUACAAAGAGCCGCGAUACCGUGAGGUGGAGCAAAUCUCAUAAAAUACCUCCCAGUUCGGAUUGAAGUCUGCAACUCGACUUCAUGAAGUUGGAAUCGCUAGUAAUCGUGAAUCAGCAAUGUCACGGUGAAUACGU
rnacentral:rRNA from 1 species